GGUCCCGUAGCUUAACUGGAUAGAGCAUCUGACUACGGAUCAGAAGGUUAGGGGUUCGACUCCCUUCGGGACCA
rnacentral:tRNA from 1 species